UACGGGGGGAGCAAGCGUUGUUCGGAUUUACUGGGCGUAAAGGGCGCGUAGGCGGCCAGCACAAGUCAGUUGUGAAAUCUCCGGGCUUAACUCGGAAAGGUCAACUGAUACUGUGCGGCUAGAGUGCAGAAGGGGCAACUGGAAUUCUCGGUGUAGCGGUGAAAUGCGUAGAUAUCGAGAGAAGACCACUGCGGCGAAGGCGGGUUGCUGGGCUGACACUGACGCUGAGGCGCGAAAGCUAGGGGAGCGAACGGG
rnacentral:rRNA from 1 species